ACAUUGGAACUGAGACACUGUCCAUACACCUACGGGUGUCUGCAGUCGAGAAUAUUCCACAAUGUACGAAAGUCUGAUGGAGCGACGCCGCGUGCGGGAUGAAGGCCUUCGGGUUGUAAACCGCUUUUUUCAGGGAGCUAUUUCGAUGAGAGUACCUGAAGAAUAAGAGGUUACUAACUCUGUGCCAGCAGUAGCGGUAAUACAGAGACCUCAAGCGUUAUCCGGAUUUAUUGGGCGUAAAGGGCAGGUAGGUGGAUAUGUUAGUCGGAUGUUAAAUCUCGGGGCUCAACCCCGAACAGGCAUUCGAAACGGCAUGUCUAGAGGAUGUGAGAGAUCAGUGGAAUUUAUGGUGUAGUAGUGAAAUGCGUUGAUAUCAUAAAGAACACCCAAGGCGAAGGCAACUGAUUGGCACAUAUCUGACACUGAGCUGCGAAAGCGUGGGGAGCGAAUAGGAUUAGAUACCCUAGUAGUCCACGCCCUAAACGAUG
rnacentral:rRNA from 1 species